rnacentral:lncRNA from 1 species
AUGUUCAUGCAAGGGGUCUCUUUACAUAGUCUUUACGGUCUAUGUCUCAUCUUUGUCUCAUCAAUGUCUCAUCAGGAGCCCUGUACUGCUGUUUCUAUGGAGGAGGCAGGGGGGAAGAGUUUUGAGAACCCCGCCUAUGCAGCUGAGGGGGAUGAGAGACCUGCCCCUAACUGCAUUACUCCUGCCGUCCUUGUGCCCAAUGGGACAGCAAUGGAGAACAUUGAGAACCCGUUGUAUGCUGAGGUUCGUGUGAUAGCUGAGCCUGACCCUGAGCCCGACGCUAGCGCCACACCUGCUAAUACUUUAUCAGUCGAGGGGGCCUUUGAGAAUCCAGGUGAGGAACUGACUCCCGAGGAACCAGUCGCCGACGAGUCACUAAAGUUCGAACCCAUUCCUGAUGACAAUGCCGACGGCAGUUUCAUAAACCCAAUGUUCUCGGUGAGUGUUCAAGAAAUACGAGUGCAUUCCAUUCUACAGUAG